rnacentral:rRNA from 1 species
AUUCCAGCUCCAAUAGCGUAUAUUAAAGUUGUUGCAGUUAAAAAGCUCGUAGUUGGAGUUCAGAUUGAGCUCGGCCGGUCGGCCUAAUUGGUCAGAACUGGUUGACUCUGUCUUGUUUGUGGAUCCCUCCGGAGUUAACUCUUCGGAUGUGGAGUCCACAUCGUUUACCUUGAAAAAAUUAGAGUGUUCAAAGCAGGCGUUUGCUUGAAUAUAUUAGCAUGGAAUAAUGGAAUAGGACGCUGGUUCUAUUUUGUUGGUUUGCACGCCGAAGUAAUGAUUAAUAGGAGCAGUUGGGGAUGUCCGUAUUCGAUUGUCAGAGGUGAAAUUCUUGGAUUUACGGAAGACGAACUACUGCGAAAGCAUUUACCAAGGAUGUUUUCAUUA